rnacentral:rRNA from 1 species
UACAUGGGGUGCAAACGUUGCUCGGAAUUACUGGGCGUAAAGCGCACGUAGGCGGCUUUGUAAGUUAGAGGUGAAAGCCCAGGGCUUAACCCUGGAAUUGCCUUUAAGACUGCAUCGCUAGAAUCGUGGAGAGGUGAGUGGAAUUCCGAGUGUAGAGGUGAAAUUCGUAGAUAUUCGGAAGAACACCAGUGGCGAAGGCGACUCACUGGACACGUAUUGACGCUGAGGUGCGAAAGCGUGGGGAGCAAACAGG